AACGAACGCUGGCGGCAUGCCUAACACAUGCAAGUCGAACGAGAUCUUCGGGUCUAGUGGCGCACGGGUGCGUAACGCGUGGGAAUCUGCCCUUUGGUUCGGAAUAACAGUUGGAAACGACUGCUAAUACCGGAUGAUGACGAAAGUCCAAAGAUUUAUCGCCAGAGGAUGAGCCCGCGUAGGAUUAGCUAGUUGGUGUGGUAAAGGCGCACCAAGGCGGCGAUCCUUAGCUGGUCUGAGAGGAUGAUCAGCCACACUGGGACUGAGACACGGCCCAGACUGCUACGGGAGGCAGCAGUGGGAAAUAUUGGAAAAUGGGCGAAAGCCUGAUCCAGCAAUGCCGCGUGAGUGAUGAAGGCCUUAGGGUUGUAAAGCUCUUUUACCCGGGAUGAUAAUGACAGUACCGGGAGAAUAAGCUCCGGCUAACUCCGUGCCAGCCGCCGCCGUAA
rnacentral:rRNA from 1 species